GCCUCUGUGGUCCAGUGGUCGAGCGCUGGACUUACGAUCCGGAGGUACCGGGUUCAAAUCCCGGUGGGGGCA